UACGUAGGGGGGCUAGCGUUGUCCGGAAUCAUUGGGCGUAAAGCGCGUGUAGGCGGUCCGGUAAGUCCGCUGUGGAAGUCGGGGGGCUCAACCCUCGGAUGCCGGUGGAUACUGUCGGGCUUGAGUACGGAAGAGGCGAGUGGAAUUCCUGGUGUAGCGGUGAAAUGCGCAGAUAUCAGGAGGAACACCGGUGGCGAAGGCGGGUCUCUGGGCCGAUACUGACGCUGAGGAGCGAAAGCGUGGGGAGCGAACAGG
rnacentral:rRNA from 1 species